GAUGAACGCUAGCGGCAGGCUUAAUACAUGCAAGUCGUGGGGCAGCAGGUCUGUAGCAAUACAGAUGCUGGCGACCGGCAAACGGGUGCGUAACACGUACGCAACCUUCCCGUUACUGGGGAAUAGCCCAGGGAAACUUGGACUAAUACCCCAUAUUAUAUUGGUUAGGCAUCUGACUGAUAUCAAAGCCUCGGCGGUAACGGAUGGGCGUGCGGUUGAUUAGGUAGUUGGCGGGGUAACGGCCCACCAAGCCUACGAUCAAUAGCUGAUGUGAGAGCAUGAUCAGCCACACGGGCACUGAGACACGGGCCCGACUCCUACGGGAGGCAGCAGUAAGGAAUAUUGGGCAAUGGACGAAAGUCUGACCCGGCCAUGCCGCGUGAAGGAUGAAGGUCCUCUGGAUUGUAAACUUCUUUUAUCUGGGGCGAAAAUCGGUUAUUCUUAGCCGCUUGACAGUACCAGAUGAAUAAGCACCGGCUAACUCCGUGCCAGCCGCCGCAGUAAGAC
rnacentral:rRNA from 1 species